UACGGAGGGUGCAAGCGUUAAUCGGAAUUACUGGGCGUAAAGCGUGCGCAGGCGGUUUGUUAAGUCUGUUGUGAAAUCCCCGAGCUCAACUUGGGAAUUGCAGUGGAUACUGGCAAGCUGGAGUACGGUAGAGGAAGGUGGAAUUCCCGGUGUAGCAGUGAAAUGCGUAGAGAUCGGGAGGAACAUCAGUGGCGAAGGCGGCCAUCUGGGACAACACUGACGCUGAAGCACGAAAGCGUGGGGAGCAAACAGG
rnacentral:rRNA from 1 species